GAUGAACGCUGGCGGCGUGCCUAAUACAUGCAAGUCGAGCGAACAGACGAGGAUCUUGCUCCUCCGACGUAAGCGGCGGACGGGUGAGUAACACGUGGAUAACCUACCUAUAAGACUGGGAUAACUUCGGGAAACCGGAGCUAAUACCGGAUAAUAUAUUGAACCGCAUGGUUCAAUAGUGAAAGACGGUUUUGCUGUCACUUAUAGAUGGCUCCGCGCCGCAUUAGCUAGUUGGUAAGGUAACGGCUUACCAAGGCAACGAUUCGUAGCCGACCUGAGAGGGUGAUCGGCCACACUGGAACUGAGACACGGUACAGUCUCCUACGGGAAGCAGCAGUAGGGAAUCUUCCGCAAUGGGCGGAAGCUUGACGGAGCAACGCCGCGUGAGUGAUGAAGGUCUUCGGAUCGUAAAACUCUGUUAUUAGGGAAGAACAAAUGUGUAAGUAACUAUGCACGUCUUGACGGUACCUAAUCAGAAAGCCACGGCUAACUACGUG
rnacentral:rRNA from 1 species